ACGUGAGCAAACGCACCUCAACCCGUCACGAACGCACCCCAGUUCUCUUGUUUGUAGCUUUGCUUUGAUCGUGGUGGCGACAAUACCUAGCUAGCUACUGCAAGAUCAAGAUAGUGCUCACCUUUUGUUUACAGCACGGGCAUGGGUAGAGCACACGAAGGUAGCUUUCUAUCUGCGACUUGCAUUAUCUAAAAAAAAUAUUCAAUACAGUUGUUACGGGUUUUUCUCAACGAGCGAUUAACAGUUGCUGUUGAGGAGAUAUUCGGGGCAGUUGAAUAAAACGCAAACUUAGUACCAGGAAGAACUUUCCCCUUCAAAGGAGGAAAACGACUGUCUGCAAAGGCUGCUUGAAGUCGCUGUUAUUAAACCUGAGAUCAGGCUACACAUAGCAGUCUACCAUAGGCGACUGAUGACGUUUACAUUGUCAUUUCAUCCAGACCUCCAGCAGCUCACUCUCCAUGGUGAUCAGGAGGUUCCCCCUGAUCAGUAGCACUGUGUGCAGGAGUGGAGCCCUAGUCUGGGACAGGAGGACCAAGAGCCUACACAUAUUACAGAGGAACAUGGGGAGCUCAGGAACAGUCAGUGGGAAGAGUAGCUUCCAAAGCUGGAAGAUGAUACCAAAUACUCCAUAUUCACUCCUGCCUGUGUGAAAAGUGACUGUGAUGAGAACCUAAUUCUGCACUCAUAUCUUUAUCAUGGUCAACAUGAAGUUAAUGAAGAAAGGGUCUCUCUCCCCAGCUCCUCAACUAAACAGAUCAAUACAGAACCUUAUGAAGAGGACUACAUAGUAUCAGAACUAAUCAGUGACUGUCAUUCUCUCAUCACCCAGUCAACGUCAUAAUGCUUCUUGUCAUUGUAAGACAUCCUCUGUCAACAGUCAGUCUCUGAAGAGGUUCCCCCUGAGCAGCAGCACUAUGUGCAGUAGUGGAGUCACAGUCUGGGACAGGAGGACCCAGAGCCUACACAGAUAAAGGAGGAACUCGGAACCAGUCAGUGGGAAGAGCAGCCUCAAGAGCUGGAAGAUGAUACCAAAGACUCCAUGUUCUUUCCUGCCUUUAUGGAACAUGACUGUGAGGAUCCAGCUCUGCACUCCAAUCUUUUUCAUGCCCAAAAUUAUGGAAAAGAAGAGAGUCUCUACCCAUCACCUCAACUGCACAAACAGAAACUGGGGGAGAUUACUACAGAGUACCAGAACCAACUAGUGAUUCUCAGCCCGUCUCUGCAGAAAAUCCAUACUGUUCUGCAGCUCAAGAGUAAAAACAUGGAUAGGAUCGGAAUUGGAGGACCUCAGGUUAAGCAGUAAAAUCAAAGAAAACAUGGACAGUAAAAGACAAAGCUCCCGUAUAAACACUGAGGGUAAGAAAUCCACAGUGUUGUCCAAUCUGAAAUCACCCAGGCAAAAUGACCAUGCACUUUGCCAUUGAAGUGUGUAGAAAGGAGUGUAUGGAAAAUCUUUCCACUACAUGGGUUCAUUAAUGAAACGUGCAAACUCAUACGAAGGAGAAAUAACCUAUUUGUGGUGUGUGGAAAAUGUUUUGGGCCACAGAAAGUAUGAAACAUCACAUCGAAACUCACAUUGCAGAUAGGAUGUUUGUCGUAAAUGCUUUACUAGCAAUAGGGAUCUGACUGUGCACAUGAGAAGCCACUGGGCAGGAAGCGUAUCAAUGUUCUGUAAUAAAAGUCACAAUGGGGAAAAUGUGUAAGAGUGCAAUGAUUGGAGUAAAUAUUUC